UGGAAGCAAAUAGAUUUUAUUAAAUGUGAAGUGAUACCUAAAUGUACUCAGAUGAAUGCUAGUGGUGUACUCCAGUAUGGACUGUUGCUUAAUGAAAUCUUGGUGUUAACAGCUGUCUCAGACAAGUAUCAUAUGUUUUCAGCAUACAGGGCUACUGUAAUCAUUCUUCCAGAAAACAAGAAGGAAGAUUGCAUCAUUCUUCAGCCAUGGCUGUCAUUUAAUGAUUACACAUUUUUGAUUUUUAUUUUUCUGAUUCUACUUUUUGCAAAAGUUGCUCAGAUUUCACAUCAGUUUAUUCAAUUUCAAUAACUAUAGGAGAAAAAUAAAUCCCUUAAUCUACAGAAAUCUGAAAUUAUUUUUUCAAAGAAUUCUUGAACUAAAUUCAAAAGGAGUUUGUCAAUUUAUUGAAUCUUGUGUGUGUUGUGCAGGGUGUGUGACUUGCCUCCAGAUGGUGCUCUCACAUUGACAUUUAAGAGUUCUGUUAGCGUUAUUACAGUUUUCAUUAUUCUCUCAAAAUCAGCAUUAGUCCUCUCAAAUUAGCAAGAAAAUAAUUUAGUAGAAUGCAUACCAAUGUAUCAUAUGUUCAUUACAGAUAACUGAUAUUCCCUACAUCGUAUUAGGAAACUACUUUUAGUUCUAGGAAAAGGUUUUACUGAAACUGUGUAAUAUUUUAAUACAAAGGUGGAAAUUCUGUGAACCUUUAAACCAUGUAAUGAGCAUUAUUUAAACAGUAUCUUCAUGGUUGAGUAAUAUCAGUUCCAGUGAGGUAAUAAGCCAGCAUUACAAACUAAAGUACAAGACAAAAGUACUAAUUAUUUUCCACAAAAUCUUGAAAAUUGUGCUGCAACUUUGUGUGAAAGGCCUUCACUUGAGAAGCCCUUUUUCUCGUGGGGAAGAUCAUCACAGAAAUACCAGACAUCCCAUUCUUGCUCUCGUGCUGGAAUUGUCUUCAUGAUUUCCACUACUACUGGGUAUGCAAAUAUGAUCUGUGAGUGUUGCAAAUUAGUUCAGGACCCAGGGGUCAUACCUCUGGCAUUUUAGAGUGAAGCCAAUACUUUUUUUCCAGUGAGUUCCAGUGUUGAUUGCAUGGUUUGUGUGGGUCUGUAUCAGCAUAUUUCUACUCAGCAUUCUCCUUCACACUGGUACAAAUAUCAUGGCAGAAGAUAGAGCUGAUACAUGCAUCAGUGAUUUCGGACAAUCAACAUUAUCUUUGUGCAGGAAGCAAGUUUUUAUAUAAUUUGUAAAUGCUGUAAAUUCUUUUUUUGUGUUCAUUUUCAACCAGCAUCUCAUUUUACUCUUGCAUUUUUCUUCCCAGACAUCUCUAAAUGAGGUAGAGUUCACCAGUAAGAGGCUCUCUUGGUCGUAAUAUUCUUUUCCUGUUUCUUCUGCCACAGGCAGCUGUGACACACAGGAAUAUUUCGAUUAAGAAGAAAGCAAAGGAAGGUUCCAGAGACCAGGUAUCCACGAUGAAAUUCAUCUGUCAGUGAAACCAGUUUGCAGUGUGUGCAAAACAACACGCUAACAAGGACAUUGCACUUUAUCUCGAAACCACCAUCAAGAAUGGUUCAGAAACUGCAAGCAAAGUGGAUCUAUAAGCAAGAAAGCAUUCUGGAUGAAGCUCCAAGGUAUAGUAAAUGUGCCUGAAGAACUAGAGGAGUAUAGUGUCUAUGACAAUCAGCUUGCAGCACUUAUUAUAAGGAAGUAUGUAAGAAACUGUGAAAUUUAAACAGAAAAUCACAACUUGUAAAUGAUGUAACAUCCUGGAGAAACUGAAUACAACAGCUCAGGAAAGGAUGCCAACGUACAUGGCAAGUUUCCUCUAGAAACUGGGGUAAAUGAGGGUAUGUGGGUUGGUAGUCUUGACUUCUGAAGAUACUGAGAACUGCAGUAUACAAGGCUAGCUAAUAGUGUAUUAGGGUGCUAACAAAAAGGGUUAUUGCAACUAGGAUAAGAAGAGCAGUCCUUGUGAAAUUAAGUCCUGAUAUAGGAUGAAUUCUUGCAAAACUGAAAACUCAAAUAUAUUUGUUGAAGAAUUAGAACAUGGCUCUGGGCAUAAAUUAUGAGCAGAACUGGCCUGCUAAGGUCCUGCUAAGGUAAAAACAACCAGCAGUUGCACCUUUGACUGGAGGGAAACAAAGAAUGCUUAUGAAGAAAUACUGUAAUAUCUGGGACAAAAAGCAUAACUCUGAGCUGUCCCAGAAGAUUAACAAAAGGAUGGGUGAAAAUAUAUGUUGGGUAUAGCAUGUGAAAGCUAAUCUAAAACUGAAAUUCAACUGUUUCUUAGUCUGAAACAGCUGAAGCCUUGUAACAAAAACUUUGUUAACUCUUUAGUGUUAUAGUAGGGCUAAAAAUAAAUUCUUUCCUACUGAGAAGAUGAUCGCGUAGGUAUAAGUAAGGGAAGAGCACCUUUUCAGCUUACAUCUUUGCAGAGCUUCUGGACACAUGAAAAUUGGAAAUAUAUUUUCAUAAAUAUUCCAUAAAGUUGGAAAAUAGUAAAAAAUUCUAGAAAGGAGCUAAUCUAUAGGAAUGAAACCAUGGAAUCUGUUUCAGAAUUCUAUAUCGAAGGUGUACAUUGGUGUGGACCUCGGAGUCCCUGUUCUCUGGACUCAUAGGCCUCAAAGAGCCUCAUAGAUGUGACUCUAAGGAACACACUUGUCUCUUGCUAGUGGCCUCAUUUCAUUCCCCUGCAAACCCAGGCAUGAGAGAAGAAAGAAGAAAUGAUGUCACACCUUGAUCAGGUGUAGAAUCAGGAUAGAGCUAGAGCUCACAUCUGUAUUGUGAGCCCAAACGUGAUCCCAGUCAAUUAAUCUAGACGUAUAUAGAAAGACUGAGAAUCAGCCAAACCUCCUGUAUGUCCAGAAGCAUGUUUGAUCAGUUGCAAAAUCCUAGCAUUGUUUCUUAGUUCCAGUGUGACUGUAGCUGAUAAUAAAUUAGGAUUUUUUUGAGAUUAUAGAAUAGAAUCAUAGAAUAUCUUUCAGGAAUAUAACUCCUAAUUACUUUAUGCUACUGCAAUAAAAAGGAGAUAAUUAGAGCAGCAUCCCUUAAACAUAGACAUACAAAGCAUGUCUGUUCCAGAUUAUUGAGAUAUCAGAUAACUCAUCUGGCUAUGCUAAGCCCAGAACUAGGCAGUAUCACUGCACUCAAACUAAUUAGCUGGGAGAUGAGAGACAGCUUUGUUUUGGUUGCUUUGUGAUGUAUAGUAUACUAUAGCAUCAGCUAAUGUCUUAUCAGCUUGCUUCUGGGGCAUGUUUCUCUCAUUCACUCAUUUCAUGCUAUUACAUUAAGUUUAAUUUGAAAUCGGGAGCCCUAAAAUGUCUUUACCUGCCACUCCCAUAAUUUCUGCCUGCUAUCACCAGUGACUGCCAGAGCUGCAUUGUUGUAUCCUGAUAUAGUUUGAUUUCCCUUCAAGGUUGCUUUUUUCUGAAUUUUCUGCUUUCAUAUACUAGGAUUGAGGAUUAAUUUCAAGAUCUCUUUAGUGUAUUUUGCCCUAAAUUACUGCUGAGUGCUCUUACCUGCAUUGUAAUUUAGGGUUUGGAAAUUACAGAGCCCUGCGGUGCUGUGGUUGUACAAGAUUCUUUGUUCAUAGGCAUCCAGCAGUGCUUAACACCUACACAUUAAAAGCAAAGAACAAAAUGGAACACUCAAGCUCUGUGCUUAUAGUGUGUCUAAGUUAAUUCCAAAGCAACCAUGAAGCCUUUCUCACACAUUCUAUAAAUACUUAUAGAAGAAAUAGAGUUGAAAUCAGUAGAAAUUAGAGUAAUUGAAGCAGUGAAGUUUGCAGCCAUGGCAGUGAGAUUUAAUUUUGAAUUUAUUCAGGUUUUGGAGAUGGCUCUGCUUUGAGUCAGGAGUUGGAUGAGAUGAAGUCCCUUCUGAGCAAUUUUUUCCAGGCUUCUGAUACUGAGGGAUUCUAAGAAAUUAUACCAUUCUCUCUAGUAAGGGGAGAAGGAGAUUGCUGUAGUUCAGGCAGAAUUUGUGGAACCCAAUGCUACAGUUUUCAUUCCCAUGAUAUGCCAUGGAAUGUGAGGGUGCUUAGCUAGUAGAAUAGUAAAGCUAAAUGCAGUGAAUAUGAUUUCAAGGAAAUCAAUGUUGUAUAGAAUUAAUUCACGCUACAAAACACUAUUUUAUGCAAUAACAGUUUGGGCAAAAUUCUGUCCUGCAUUAAGCAAGAGAAAACAAACUCACUCCAUCUACACCCCAAAAGUCAGAUCCAGACUAUUGCCUAAGACAGGAGAUCCUGUCCCACUGUGGAAUAAAAAUAACUAUUAACAUGUCUCACAGAAGAAAAAUGCUCAGUUUGAUUUCUUCUGCAGUUGAGCCUCAAAGUUUACCAAGACAGUUUGAAUAUUUUGCAAAGGCAUUUGAUUUUUAGAUGUCUGACUGCUUCAGCUUUUAAUUGUAAAGCCAAGUUAUCUAGACAAUGCAUUCAAGUCUGAUUCUGCUAGACAGUCCUGCCAAGAAUAAAGAGCAAUUUACAGCCCAAAAGUCAGAUAGCAGCUUCUCUCCUUCGGAAAGUGGGAUGUGUUUUUCUUCUUAGGAGGAUCCUCGUUAGGAGGAGGGAUCUGCUUUCUAAUCCAUGUCUUGUUGCUCUUCUACAUCUCUCUUGUGAAGAAUUUAUUGUAUAAAGUAGAGCAGUAAGUGAUCAUUGAAGAUUCACUCAGAGGGUAUGUUGCAGCCUGCUGUCAAGGGCACUCCCACAGACCAUGGGAAAAAAAUUACACUAAGGAUACUGAUUGGGUGAAUGAGAACUGAAAUCAGGUCAGGCAACUCUUUAGAUUUCUCCAAGAUAAGUUUCCAGCUCAGAAUGUGGAGUACUGCAGUGUUCAUGAGUACUGCAUUUAGACUGAUUAUUCUUAGGAUGGGGUUUCUGUGUUUCUGCCUGGGCAGAAAUGUAUGUCUGUUGAUUUAGUACUUGAGAGUCUGACACAUUUAGGCUGCAGUAAACCACCUUUACAAUAAAACGACAACAUCAAACUGUACAUAUAUCCUGCUCUUUUAAGCCAAAGAUUUUUUAUUUUUAUUUUUUUUUAACGAGAAGAAUAUCUCUAUGUUCUGUUCUGCAAAGAUCUACAUAGAAGGUGAGCCCCUGUGUCUCCACUGAAAUAGUGGGAAUAUUUGAAACAAUUUUUCCAGCUCAGCUGGUCAGAGGAGAGUUCAUCAGAGUGGGUAAUGGACAAGAGUUUAUUAAACAUCUUUAAAGCUCAAAAGACAAAGGUGAAGGUCCAAGAAUUAGGGAAACUUUAACUCUGUGUUGACCAGGCAUCAAAGUAUUUUCAAUGAAUCAGAAUAUCCAAAAUUGAAAGGGACUCAUGGGGAUUGUUGAGUCCAACAAUCAGACUGCACACAGGACCACCCAAAAUCCAUACUCUAUGCCUGAAAGCACUUCUUGAACUCCGGCAGUGUAGUGUUGUGACCACUUCCCUGGGUAGCCUGUUGCAAUGCCUAACCACUCAUUCUGUGAAGAACUUUUUCUAAUGCACAUCCUGAACUUCCCCUGGUGCAGCUUCACGCAUUCCGUUGGGCUGUACUGCUGGUUACAGGAGGGAGCAGAUCAG